CCUACGGGCGGCUGCAGUGAGGAAUAUUGGUCAAUGGUCGGGAGACUGAACCAGCCAAGCCGCGUGAGGGAUGAAGGUACAGAGUAUCGUAAACCUCUUUUGUCAGGGAACAAAGGCGGGGACGCGUCCCCGGAUGAGUGUACCUGAAGAAAAAGCAUCGGCUAACUCCGUGCCAGCAGCCGCGGUAAUACGGAGGAUGCGAGCGUUAUCCGGAUUUAUUGGUUUUAAGGGGUGCGCAGGUGGUCUGUUAAGUCAGCGGUCAAAGCCCGGGGCUCAACCCCGGCACGCCGUUGAAACUGGCAGGCUCGAGUUGGAGAGAGGUAGGCGGAAUGCGCGGUGUAGCGGUGAAAUGCAUAGAUAUCGCGCAGAACUCCGAUUGCGAAGGCAGCAUGCCGGCUCCACACUGACGCUGAGGCACGAAAGCGUGGGUAUCGAACAGGAUUAGAUACCCCAGUAGUC
rnacentral:rRNA from 1 species